rnacentral:piRNA from 1 species
UGACAGCCUGUGAAGCUGAUGGAGGCUCGU